rnacentral:lncRNA from 1 species
CCGGGUGACCAUGAACGGAGACAGACAGUUAUGAAAGCCCCAAAGUUAAGUGAAAAACGGUUAUCCAAAAUUAAGCCAUGGACGAACUGCAUUUCCCAUCUUUGCAGCUUGAAUGAAACAAAUCAUGAAUUCAGCUGAAGAUCAUCUCCUACUGAGAAGCCUCUCCUGAUGGACUCUUCCCCAGUUCCUGAUUUUUUCCAUUCCUCUCUCCAUAUCAGAGAGGCUCCUCCUCCAUGCUGCCAUGGUCACCUUGUUAACAUCCAUCAGUGGACACCAUAAAA